CAAUAUCUACGAAGCAGAUGCAGAGGACGCUCUGUCCCCAAGAAAAAGUAUUUUAAAAUUACUCAAGGCGCGCGGAAUCACAUUUUCAGUUUUGGAGCAGAAGACGAUCUUGAGUUGGUGAAGUAGAAGGCAGCUGACUUCGAUGAAAUUAUUUUUCAAUUGAAAGAGAAAUUCGCAAAAGAAUUACUAAUGAGUUUGGUGCAAACAAGUACAUCGUGUCACAGGCUCACGGGUUAUCGAAAGAUAAGUGAAUAUUAGCUACUCCUCAAAACGAAAAACCAGGAUAUGGAUUGGAUCCCGAGGUAAGAAACGAUGGACUACAGUUCUUUGAAAGCGAUCAUAUUAGCAGAGCUAUGUGAGGAUAGAAAAAUUACGUACAUGUUUAAAAGAUGAAAUUCAUGUUCAAAGACGACUACUAGUUUGUACAUUAAAGAAAGCUGAUAUGAGGUUUAAGGAAGUAAGAACACGAUAGGAUUUAGUUCAUUUACCCUGAUACGACUGUAGUAUUGUGGUAUUUCAUGCAAUCAAGUAGGCUAGAGAAGAGUGUCAAAUUAGGAUGAGGAAAUAAACAUUAUUCUGAUUCUGUA